CUACGGGUGGCAGCAGUGGGGAAUCUUAGACAAUGGGGGCAACCCUGAUCUAGCCAUGCCGCGUGAGUGAUGAAGGCCUUAGGGUCGUAAAGCUCUUUCGCCUGUGAUGAUAAUGACAGUAGCAGGUAAAGAAACACCGGCUAACUCCGUGCCAGCAGCCGCGGUAAUACGGAGGGGGUUAGCGUUGUUCGGAAUUACUGGGCGUAAAGCGCGCGUAGGCGGAUUAGAAAGUUGGGGGUGAAAUCCCGGGGCUCAACCUCGGAACUGCCUCCAAAACUGCUAGUCUAGAGUUCGAGAGAGGUGAGUGGAAUUCCGAGUGUAGAGGUGAAAUUCGUAGAUAUUCGGAGGAACACCAGUGGCGAAGGCGGCUCACUGGCUCGAUACUGACGCUGAGGUGCGAAAGUGUGGGGAGCAAACAGGAUUAGAUACCCGCGUAGUC
rnacentral:rRNA from 1 species